CUGCCCUCAUCUGGCUGGAUCUCUGAGGACAAAGAUCAGUAGAGCGGUCAAACGGUACAUGAUGCAGAUUUUUAUACAUGCCCCAAAAAGGAGUGAAACCCCCUCUACCAAUGUACUCCUUAUUUUAUGUCAGAGGUGCUGAUGAGAGGCGACGACAAAUAAUGCCUCAGAUCUAGCAUUCCUAUGAAGAUGACUAUGAUCUUCAGAAAAUGGACUGAUAACUUAAACAUCAGACGGAGGGUGGUGCAGGUUGACAGGUGUGGAAGAACCCCUCCCCGCCCGUGGAGAAUCGGCUAAACAUGACUGAGUGAGUCUGUGAGUGCUUUAUAAAAGGUGCUUUAC
rnacentral:lncRNA from 15 species